rnacentral:rRNA from 1 species
UCAUGGUAUUCAGGAUCAACUGCUCUUUCGGGACUGUGCACUCGUCUGUUUACUGGGCCAGCAUCGUAUAGGCGGGAGAUAAAUGCAAGAAUGUGGCUCCMUCUUCGGGUGAGUGUUAUAGCUCUUGUUCAUAUCACCAGCUUGGACCGAGGACCGCCUUCGGCUAGGAUGCUGGCGUAAUGACUUUAAGCCACCCGUCUUGAAACACGGACCAAGGAGUCAGUCUGAAAAGGACCAGGAUCA